CCUGACGAUUGUUGCCGAAGGCGUAGCGAGCGCUUCCGAGCUCACUCGGCUCCUUCCGCCUGCCCCGCGCCGGCCCGACGCCCUCGGGAGCCGUCGUCCCCCAGCUCGCUUUAGUGGCCUUCUGCUUUCCGAAUCUAAUGUCCAUAAGGGACAAGAAUUUUCACCUGUUUUGCUCACCGCUGUAUUCCCGGUGCCUAGCACAGUGCCACAGAGCGAGGAGGGAAAGCAGGCAGCGAAGAUGCAGGCUGGGCAUUGUUCCUGCCUCCCGAAGACAAGUCACACAAGAACGUCGUCCACACCGGAGUGAAGCAUUGCUAAAGCAUGAGGAAAACGGAGCUCUGCAUCUCCCGCGACUAAAGCUAGGACCUCCUUUGUCUUUUGGUGUUGAGCAGCAUUCCUCUACCCACCAGAUGCCAAGAAAACUGACCUCCCACCACCACCUGGGAGAGGACAAUCAGAAGUGUCUCCAGGCAUUGCCAUGUGUGCCCAGAGUUGAAAGCACUGUCCCGGUUUGAGACCCACCCAUGGGGUUAGGAUCACGUACCAGUGAUCACCUCCUCGCUGCUUGUGACCACCGGAGCCAGUCCUGCCUCCCAGCAUCUGAACUGCAGCUCCCACAUCCAGGGCUUCUCUUCCCAUGAGCUUUUCAUAACUCAUCUCUUCAAAUCUGUCCUCUCCUCCUUGUUAACUUGCCUCAUUUUGUGGCAUAGCAUUAUCCCUACCUGAGCUUAGUUCACAUUUUUAUUUGUUUGUUUCUUACCGGCCUCACCCACUAGGAGAAACUCCUUGAAGACUUAAAUUUUAGCUAGUUCACAAAUAUAUUCUCUGCAAUACCCGACAUUCAGAGUAUGGUUACAUGUAUUUGUCGAAUGCCUGCCUGCAUGCAUGAAUGAAUGAAUGAUGAAUGAACGAAUGAAUGAAGGAGUAACUGAGUGACCAAGCCACCAUCCCUGCUCCACGCAAGUCCGGAAGUGGCGAUUCCCUGUUGGAGAGACGCGCGUGAGGGCAUUUGUUUCUUUGCUCGUGUCCAAGGUUGGCGUCCUCACAAAUCUUUCAAAUUCUAUUCAUCAGUAAUUGGUUAGGAUUAUGGAUUCUUCCCAGCAAGGAGGAUGUGUCAGAAAAUGGAAGGUUCUCACAUUCAACUUUAAUAGGUCUUUGGUUUUCACGUCCCCCCUCCCCCGCCCGUGGAAAAGAACAUUGUGAGACUAUUGUUCCUUUUUCCUUUUCUAAAUCAUUGUAAAGAUGCUAAAGGAAGUGAUACCAGCGAUGCAACCAAUGAUUCCCUCCCUAAGUCAAAUUUUGGUCCUGUAACGAAACUAAAACAAAUUACACACACACGCAACCAUGUAUAUACUUUUUCUGUCGUAUAACUGUGGAACUGUGGAAGCAUCUGGUGCACAAUGUGCUAGGACUCUUAGUAUUUCCUGGCACCAAGCGCCUCCUUCUAGUUAGUGAAAGAACUCUGAUUCUGCAAAUGGCCUCAUCAUUUGUGUAGACACCAGGGUGGACGCCCUGACAACCUCGAGCCUCGCAGUUGCCAGGGAGGAAUGCGCGAUGCCUUGUGAGCAAGUCUGUUUCGUGUCUUCUGGAAACACGUGUCAUCACCGUGUUCCCCUGUGCUGUCUCUAAGGAAAGGUCACUUUAUGGUUAGCACAUGGUCUAUGGACAGACCGCCUGGGUUCAACCAGCCUCUACUAACUUGGUAAGGAUACCUAAACUCGAGGCCCCAGUUUCCUCAUCCAUGGAAUGGAAAUGCAUUACUGAGUUUACCUAAUAUGACAGUUGCAUUCUUAUAGGGUUCAUUUAUAUCCCUGGAACAGUGUGUAGCCUGUAUAAAGUUCUUAAAACUGAUGACUCUGUUACUUAAUGCACUUUCAUCCCACUUCUGGGUUAGAGAAAUCCUAUAAAUGCUGGCAUGAAAUAUUGUCUGGUCCAACCGUGCUCAAUUCUGAUUUAUCCUAGGUAGGAUUUGAGAGAAAACAAUGGGCAGGUUUUUUUUUUUUCAUUGAAAAACAAUAGUUGUCAUAUUCUUCACUUAUAAAACUACUAUGUGGUCAUUAUAGAAAAUCUAAAAAAUUUUAAAAAUAUAGAGGAAUAUGUGAAUUGUAAAUCCUCAGUAUGUAUGUGUAUUUCUUCCCGCGUGUACUCAGUGUGUGCGAGACAGAGAAAUAAAGUUAACUAACCCACACUUCCUUUUUAACAAAUAAGCUCUCGUUUUUUUUUCCAUUAUUAAUCCAUUGAUAGCCAUUUCGCAAAUACCAGAGGUGAUAAUAAAUAAAUCACUCUGUCCCACCCUCUAGAGGGCGCCACGCAAAGUUCAUGUGCUAUAUUUCUUUAUGGGAAUUUUCCCUUGCAUACUUUUUUGAUUUAUUUUGAAAUCUAAUUUCUAUAUAUAUGUUUUAUUUUUAAUCUGCCCAAACAAUAAGAACAUGAAAUAGGUAAAACCCAGAGAACUGCCCUAAAGCGCCUUUUGAAAGGACCCCUAGCUGGAGUCUGCCUUCAUUUAUGCGGAGAGAAGAGUUCGGCCUGGAGAAGGAGACCACGCUGGGACUUAGCAAGCUGUCCGUGCCAACAAGUCGUAUGAUUUCCACAAUGUGCCUCACCAAACCUGUUUCUCAUGAGUCCAACAGAGAUAAUAGUAAAUCAACUGUAUGGGUUACAGGUCAAGCCAGGACAUAAUAUAACCUUGGCUUGUAGUAGCUCUUUCACAUCCAAACCCCAUUUGGGGACGCCCGAGGGCGGGCCUGACCGCAAAUCCAAAUCUCCUUGUACUUGGUUAGCAGAGAGACUUCUACUCCCCCGUCCUCUUGAAUGUUGUUUUAAGUUGGGAGGGACUCUUAGAAGGCCAAUUCCAAAUGUUAUAGUUGAAAUUCUCGCUCUGGAUGUUCCCCAGAAAUGCAUACUGCCCAUGAAAGGGCCAGGUGGGAAGGAGUAGGAAGGUCAAGGACUUUCUAAUCUCCUGGAUACGAACAGUGCCAAUCGGCGCUCAGGAUGACAGUUACUGAUCUGAAACCGGGGCUGAGCUUUUUCUUGACCACCCACAGUUGGCUGGCUCCAAGCCUACCCUUUAUCGAAUUUUCUAUAGUGGGAUCCCUCAUAUGAAAAAUGAUGCUUUUUGCUAAAAAGUUCAGAAGCAACAGCUGUAAACAAUAUUAUUGUUAUGAAGAAUUUUGAAAAACUUGAAAGCAUUUCUUAUGGGUUCUGUUUAAUAAUGUUCAGAGAUAUUGUUUUCUUCUGAGUCCUUAGAUGGUGUUCCAAUAUGCCGUUUGCCUGGCAUUUUUUUGUAGACUCCUUUAGCGUUCAUCCUCCUUUCUGUUUUAAUAUUGUUUGUGUGUGUGUUUGAGUAUAUUUCUUUCUUAAAUAAGGAUGGUUUUAACUAUACCUGGUGCUUUCCAACAUGAUAUAUGGUUUGCUCUUGAUUUUCUCCCAUUUUCUGCUUAGGUAAUGCUAACAGACAAUUUGGGCAAAAAUAUGAGACAUGUGUUUCUGAAAAAGUUAUAUGGUAUGGGGGAAAAGUUAUAAUUUAAUGAUAAGCGAAAAGAAGCAUGAUAAUGUCCUAUGUAAUAUCAUCUCAAUUCUGUAAACUUAAUGCCGUAUCACACACAUAUGUAAGUACUCAGUAAAUUUGCUAUUUGAAUAGAAUGAAUUAAUCAUAUCACUGGAGGGUGGGAUUUUUACUGCUUCACAUGUUGUUCCAUAAACCACUCAGUAUUUUCCAAAUUUUCUGCCACAGACAUGCAGAAUUGCUAGAAAUGAGUAGAGGUUUACAGAGAUCUUUUUAAAUUUUCCAAAUGAUGAAGUCAUUCCUUCGUUUCUCAGAAAUUUUAUCUUCUUUAUUCAUCAGAACAUAUUUUGCAUGCCACAUAGGUCAUUUUUCAUAUGUAUGCUAAAUUUCUUUGCUUGAUGAGAAACAACUUGAGGUCAGGAAUGAAGUCUUCUAUCGUUGUCGAAUUACCCCUGUGUAGGAGAUGAUCAAAAAUGUUAUUGAGUGACCUACUCAACUGUGUCAUAUUGAAGACAAAGACAUUGAAGUAUUAAUAAAUCGCUCCCCCUUCUCCCCAUCAAGUUUACGGUACCUCUUGACUGAAUCUUCCAUUGUUAAAAAAAAAAAAGAAUUAUAAAAUCCACUCAGGCCAAGUUCUUAUUGGAUUGUUAGUGGUGACAUUGAUGUCACAGAAGUUUCAAGUUUGAAAAAAAGUGAUGGCCUGAUUUUUUCCAUCAGGGUGCCCAAAUAUGGAUAAUUCUGGUGUUUCACACACUUGACUCAGAUCAUUUUAUUUCUGUGCCUUGGUUAGUUAGCAAAUAAUUAAACCUACUUUGACAUAUGCCUAUGUGAUAUAAUUAAUUACAUGCCCGAAGUCCCAUUUACCUCAAAAUAUGUUUUUUUCCGCUGAGAUUCUAUCUUGGUGCCUGAAACUCCUACCAAAUUAAGUCAACAUUUGUGGGAUUACAUUCGUUGUCUGUAGUGUGCUUUUGCUCAAAUAAACAUACAGCACGUGAGAGGGGAACCAUUCAUACAUGAGGAUUUGCUAGUACCUUAGACUUGACGUCCGUCAACCCGCAAUGAACAGCCUUCUGUGAGAAUAGGACAGAGGACAGAUAUGUUUUCAGGACAGAAUUGAAGAGGCCUUAGGCAUGGGGAGAGUCCUAUAGCACAAGUUGGGUGAGAGGGCUCUAGGUAGCCAGCAUCGGGGUCUGAUUGGUUGGAGAUUUUCAAAGGAUCAGGUUCCAGAGCCUGCAGAUUGUUUUCUAGAUGAGAAGCAUUAAAGAUUCCGUAGAGGUGUGUAACUGGGCUCACACACUGGCUUUUUAACAGAGCAGGCUGGUUCACAAUCCCAUACGAAAGCAUGAGGUACUUUCUCCUUUGGAAUAGUACUGGUCCAAAGGGGAAUGCACUGGGGACAAAGCUAUGUGAUCAGUGUCCCCAAGCGUGAGAAAAGCAAAGGGAACCCAGAGUGUCUGAGUCCCAGCACGCCUGCCAGUGCCCAGUUCGAGAGCAGAAAUGCUCCCGGCUCCUCCUUACACACAUACACAAGGAAAAUCCUUCCUGGCAGGAUGAGAGGGAAGCCAACUACUAUGAGGCUAGCAAUACUACGAACAAUACUCCCCGGGGAAUCAAGCGUGGUUCCAUGCACAGGCUGAAGCCUCAGAGGAACUCCCUAGGAAAGACGUUCACGUUGUCGAGAGAAGCCGAAAGAUGUUGUGAGGGCAGCUUGUCGGGGUCUGGAGUGAGUGGGAGGCUAGGUGGUUCCGAAACCACACGGUUAGCUUUAAACCUCAAGUAAACUCCGAGAAACAUCAGGGGAAGAAAAAGCAUUUUGAGUAGAACAUGAUAUUGUACUUAUUUAUUUAUUUUAAGUUUAUUUAUUUUGGGGAGAGCGAGUAGAGCAUAAUAUUUCAAAACAUGCUAACUUCAAUGUCCAGCCUAGGGACCAGUGAAAGGCAUAGCUUUCACUCCCAAAUGCGACCUCACGGGCAAGGAUGCGCCUGCGAAGCCAAUGGUGACCCGGUCAUUAGCCAGCCGGUGCUCCAACACGCGCAGUUCGGGCAGCCACAGACCUUCUGUCAUUGUCCUCUCUUCGCGCUACCCUUAGAUGUGUAAGAUUGGGUGUCUCGGCGAUGGCUAGGAGGUCGGACAUGUCGUCUGGCGAAUGAACAGGUCCUUUGCCAAGUGACUGGAUCUCACUCUUGCUAAAGGAAGAACAUUGUUCACUAAAAUAGUUUGUCUUUUGAUGCCAAAGGAAAUCAAAUUGUAAUCAAGGGCUGAGAACGCACUGAAGUCAUCAAGGCUUUGGCAAUCUCGCAUGUUCCCAGGCUUAUGAAAUAUAAUUUACGUUUACAAAAGGGAGAGGCUGUAUCGGAUUGGGAAUUGGCUUUCAUAAUGCCUAAGUGAGCCUCUGAUGGAUCGGCCAGCAUCGCAACCCGUGCUCCCGUAUAUCUCAAGGACACAGAGAGAAGCACGGAUAAGGAGGAAUGCAGUUUGUUGAAGCACCACAACAGACAGAGAAUGUGUCUAAGUGGACCGUGAGGACUCACUGUAACCAUAUCGAAAUAUGGUGGAUACACUGAUGUGAUUUUUCUGCGUCUCUGUUUUGGUUUUGGUUUUGGUUGGUGGGGGGUCAUAAGAGUAAGGAUCUUUAUAGAUCUGUGGCUUCUCCACCCUGCCCUGAGGAGCCAAUCCAAAUGAAAACAAAGGGAUGAUUAUUGAACGCAUGCUCUACAAAACUGCUCAUUAAAUAUGCUGUCUCAUGUAACCCUUACAGCAUGGAUUUGAAGUUACAUUUGCCUCAUUUUUAGGCAUCCAGAACUGAGGUCUGUAUUAGCUAAGUAAUCUGCUCCGUCUCAUAGCUGCUUAAGUUACAGAGUCAAGAUGCAGGUUUAGGUCCCAAAGCUAAAGUUCUUUCUGUUCCGAGUCCUAUGCUUCAUAUAAAAAUCAAGGAAGAGAAAAACAGAGUGAGGUUGUUUAUAGCCACUGCCCUAAGCCCUUAGCUUUCCCUAAGAGGUGUGAUGUCCAGAAAGGCCACUUCUGUGCUUGUAAAAUGAAGAACCGAGGCAAUUUGUUCAAUGCCCCCAGGAAUUUUCCUUGGGUCUCUCUUGAGAAGCACAGGGCAUUAUGUUGGCCUGGGUCAUCUGUAUAAUUGUCCGUUUUCUUUCUUUCUUCCUUUCUGUCUUCUCUUUCCCCUUCCUUCCUCCCU